rnacentral:lncRNA from 1 species
GGCAGCCCGCCCAGGAUCGAUCCUCGGUUGGGGCGAUUUGUGCGCAUCUCACCGGGAAUUUAUUCCCUCGUGUUCUGGUGUAUCUCUCGCGCUGAUACUGUGAAUCUAAUUAUGUCUUGCGCGCUAAGGGUGCGUGGGUUCGGAUCGAAAGAGUAGCUGGUUAUUAAGGGCCGUGCGGAGGUGGAGUUAGCACUAAGCUAAAACCAUACCUUCCGUGGAAAUCACGAUCAUAUCACCUCACUUAUUAGCCCGUGAGAAACACUCUGUGGGGUGCAAAGCGUACGGAUGGGGCCCACGAAGGAAACCGUGGCACGCACUGCUGCGCCGGACGAGCAGCACGCUCGCGCAGCGGCACCUACGAACGAGGCUACGGAGGCCUCGGGCCCCGCGAGCGACGUUAAAAGAAGGCGUCAGGUCGGCGCUUGGCGGCCAGAUCAGAUCAGCACCACGUCUCGUCACGCCCGCCUGCACGCGGUGGCCACGCGGACGGCCGCGGAACCUGCUGUCG